rnacentral:misc_RNA from 1 species
GUCGGCCUUGCAUACUUGAUAUUUCAAACUACCUUGUAAGAUCCAUUGAGAGAGUGACACAAAGCAACGGGGCUGCUCGUUUUGCAUAUACUUUUUCCUAAAGGACAUUUUGGCUACAAGGCAAAGUGUAGCGAAGUUUCUGAAGUCAGGGCCCUUUCAGGUUGUUACCCUCGUGUAGCAUGAAUACCUCGUUGGAAGAAACAACAAACAGGCAUUGGAUUUAUACAUCACAAAUCCUUGUUUUG